GGUCUAGUCUUACCUCUGCACGGUGAGACCGCGAAUGGCUCAUUAAAUCCGUUAUGGUUCCUUUGAUCGUUCUUCUUUACCUGGGGAACAGCGGGGAUUCUCUAGCUCAUACAUGCGAAAAGCUCCCACCGCGUGGCAGGAGCGCUUUUAUUACACCAAAACCAAAGGGGUCGCAAGAUCCCUUUGUCUGGUGACUCUGGAUAACUUUGUGCUGAUCGCCUGGACUUGAGCCGGCGACGUAUCUUUCACGUGUCUGCCCUAUCAGCUUUCGAUGGGAAGCGAUUUGCCUACCAUGGUUGUAACGGGUAACGGGGAAUCAUGGUUCGAUUCCGGACAGGGAGCAUGAGAAAUGGCUACCACAUCUACCGAAGGCAGCAGGCGCGCAAAUUACCCACUCCUAGAACGGGGAGGUAGUGACGAAUAAUAACAAUACCGGACUCAAUGACGCUCGGUAAUUGAAAUGAGUACAGUUUAAAACCCUUAACGAGGAUCUAUU
rnacentral:rRNA from 1 species